rnacentral:rRNA from 1 species
UACGUAGGGGGCAAGCGUUGUCCGGAUUUAUUGGGCGUAAAGAGCGUGUAGGCGGCCUGACAGGUCUGCUGUGAAAACUCGAGGCUCGACCUCGAGAUGUCGGCGGAAACCGUCUGGCUAGAGUCCGGAAGAGGAGAGUGGAAUUCCUGGUGUAGCGGUGAAAUGCGCAGAUAUCAGGAAGAACACCUAUGGCGAAGGCAGCUCUCUGGGACGGUACUGACGCUGAGACGCGAAAGCGUGGGGAGCGAACAGG